CCAAGAAACAUAAAAUAUAAAAAGAACUGAAUAAAAAUUUUAGAAAUAAACAUAAAAUAACUGAAAUAAAAACUCAAUGUACGUGCUCGACAAUAGAAGAGAAAGAACAGAAGAAAGAAUCAGUGAAGUUAAAGAUUGAACAAUAGAAAUAACCCAGACUGAACAGCAGAAAGAAACAGAAAAUAAACAGAUCCUCAGAGACCCAUGGGACGGUAACAAAAGAUCUAAAGUACCUGCCAUCAAAGUCUCAGAAGAAGAAAAAAAAAAAAAAGUAAGUGGUGCUGGACAAGUUUUUAAAUAAACAAUAGCUAAAAGCCCCAAAUUUGGGAAGCAAACAAAAUACCCAUAAGACUACAGAUAAAAGAAGCAGAGGAACCCAAAACAGGAUAAACCAAAGAUAUCCAUGCUAAGACCAUCUCAAAACUAAAGACAAGAAAACAGAGCCUUGAAGGGAGCGUGAGAAAAACUAUACCUUACUAUGAGGAACUAUUAACGAAACAGUGGAUUUCUAAUCAGAAAUCAAAGAGGUUUCAUAUUGUUUUUCAGGUAAUUAAACAAACAAACAAAAUUGCUAUCCUAGAAUCCUAUCUCCUCCCAAAGUAUAAUUUAAUAAUGAUAAUUAAGGCAUUAUCAGACAAUGAAAAACUAAAAAUGGUUUGUCACAAGCAGAACUACCCUGAGAGUGGCUUAAGAAAACUCCCAAAACAAAGAAAAUGAUGAAAGAAGGAAACAGAAUAUUAGAAAUGAAGAAAGAACAAUAGAAAGAGUAAAAAAAAAAAAAAAAAGAGUAAACAUAAUGGACUUUUAUAUCUUGAGUUUUCUCAAUUAUCUUUGAGAAUUAAAGAAGAAAUUAUAAUAUUAUUCUGAUGUGCUUCUCAAGGUAUAGAAGUACUGAACAUUACUGAACGUUUAUAUUAUAAAUGGGUGAAAAGAUUUUAAAUGAAGGUCUGCACCACAUGCUCAUACCUAAGUCAAUCAAUGUCAAGGGGAAUGGAUCUUUUAUGAGUGGCUCACAUUUUUUUGUUCACAAUCAAAUCAAUGCCAAAAUGUUCUCUGCAUAGAAUUUCAUCUAUUUUGUUUACUGAUGUAUACCAAGCAUAUGAGCAUUGCCUAGCACAUAAUACUUUUUAAAAAAAAUUAGAGAUACCUUCUCGAACAAAUUCUGGCCUGCUGCUGGGACUACAAAGAGAGAGAGAACACUGGUACCAACCUAGGAGAAAAUGAGAUUUCACUGGAAUAGUUCUAAGGAUAUCUGCCUACCCUGGGAAGUUAAGCCCCUUGUGUGAGAAGGUUAGCUCAGGAGAAGAAGUGUGCUAUGCAUCUGCAAGAAGGUACAAUGCUUCCCUAGGGGCAAAAAUCAACCCAGUUAGGAUUGACAGCCACUAUCAAUUCCUUCUCUGUUGAGCUUUUCACAUGUCUUAAAUAAAGGAGUAUAUUUAUCAGAUGUUGAAUGAAUUCCUUUACCAAAACAUAUUCUCUCAUAAAAGAGAAAGUCAAUGAUGAGUAUUUUAUAUUCUACAUUAAGCCCAGCACUUGAUUUAACCUAGGGCUAUAUGUACAUAUAAAUUUUCAUAGACACAGUUAAUAUGUUUCCAUUUUUAUGGGCCUCUCAAACUUUUCAGAGAGAGGUGAAGGGCUGUUUAAUCCCUUCUCUUUGAUUUAUGAAUAGAAUAUAUGCUUACAGAGCUUGACUUGCUGGACUGUUGGCUUUUUAAAAAAAAAUCAGAUAUGAAUUUGGGAAGACAUUUUCAGAUUUUCAAUAAAUAUUACAUGUUGCUGUUUAACACGGGAGGGAUUUUCCCUCUCUCAAUGAAUUUAAAAGUCCUGAAAGCUUUCUGUGGAGCAUUCUUUAGAUGCAAGAUUACAAGAUGCAGCCAGAAGCAAUGGAAACUUCUCUAAGAGGCCCAGCUGAGGACCCUGCUGAGCUAAAAUGUCUCCACACGUUUUCCUGCUCAUAUUUAGAAGAACUGUAAAUCGCUGGAAACAGCUACUUCAUUUCUGUUCUUGGGCCAGGGCUUGAAUCCUGCAGACAUUCCAGGGGAUAUGGGUUUGAGAGGCGCAGCACAUCCUGGGGGGAACUCCCUCCACAAACCCCAGCUGAGGGGGCCGCCCUUGGAAAGGACAGGUUUCCCCCGCCAGGAAGACUGCAUUAUCUCUUCUCCCCAGGGAGAAAAAUCUCUUUUGAUCAAGUUUCCAGUUGCUUCAAGGUCAGAAAGGAGCACCUUGCACUAGUCUUGCUGGCUUUUUCCCAGCCUCCGAGUGGAGCCCACCUGCCUCCCUGCCAGCACGUGUUUAAACCCCAGCAGCAGCAUCAACAAGAGAGGGCUCAGGAGAGAAAUGAGACCUAAAGAAGUCCGGGUAGGAACUGGUGCCCAGAUGUUUCGGUCAGAGGAGCAAGCCCACAGUCCAGCUUGUGUUGCAGAACUGCACCGACUCGCGGCACCCCGAUUCUGGGUGCUCUCUCGGAUUUAGGGUUCAUUAGCACCCCACCCCUCCUCCCCCUUUAGACGUGCAUCUGCAGGACCAGAGGUGAAGGAAGAAGGUUUCUGGUCUGAUCAGGGUACUUUUCUUCCAGAAAAACUCCACCCAGGUAUUAAAGCAAAUUUUAAACUGACCCUUGUAUUCAAUUAUCUUUAAAAGGAAAGAAAAUGGGAUCCCUGGGUGGCUCAGCAGU